ACAGAAGGGAGCUUGCUCCCGGAUGUUAGCGGCGGACGGGUGAGUAACACGUGGGUAACCUGCCUGUAAGACUGGGAUAACUCCGGGAAACCGGAGCUAAUACCGGAUAGUUCCUUGAACCGCAUGGUUCAAGGAUGAAAGACGGUUUCGGCUGUCACUUACAGAUGGACCCGCGGCGCAUUAGCUAGUUGGUGGGGUAAUGGCUCACCAAGGCGACGAUGCGUAGCCGACCUGAGAGGGUGAUCGGCCACACUGGGACUGAGACACGGCCCAGACUCCUACGGGAGGCAGCAGUAGGGAAUCUUCCGCAAUGGACGAAAGUCUGACGGAGCAACGCCGCGUGAGUGAUGAAGGUUUUCGGAUCGUAAAGCUCUGUUGUUAGGGAAGAACAAGUGCGAGAGUAACUGCUCGCACCUUGACGGUACCUAACCAGAAAGCCACGGCUAACUACGUGCCAGCAGCCGCGGUAAUACGUAGGUGGCAAGCGUUGUCCGGAAUUAUUGGGCGUAAAGGGCUCGCAGGCGGUUUCUUAAGUCUGAUGUGAAAGCCCCCGGCUCAACCGGGGAGGGUCAUUGGAAACUGGGAAACUUGAGUGCAGAAGAGGAGAGUGGAAUUCCACGUGUAGCGGUG
rnacentral:rRNA from 1 species